rnacentral:tRNA from 1 species
GCCGAAAUAGCUCAGUUGGUAGAGCACUUCAUACUUAAUGAAUAGGUCGCCGGUUCGAGUCCGGCUUUCGGCU